rnacentral:misc_RNA from 1 species
CUGAAUUUCUGCCUGGCUGGGAACGGCAACAAGUACCGCCUGGCAAAUUUACACCUGUGCAACCUGAUGUCUCUUGGGGGACUAGUGCCCCCAGCAGUGAUAAACACCUAUUGACCACGUCUGAACAUUUAUAUAAUAUAAA